UAUUUGGAAAGCUACCUUGGAAAUUGACUUUGGUGUAAUUACAAUGUAUUCUUCAAUUCACAUUAAGAGGAUAAGCGCGCACUGUGAAUUUCAGAUGGAAGCUCAAAUAGACAGUAGCAAGUAAUGAAGAAGCAAAUUUCUUAUAUCCAAAGGUGUUGGUGAGUUUUGCUUGUAUUUUGGGGAAAUUUACUUUCUACAUCUCAUGGAAGUUGUAUUUGAAGAGUAUGCUGCCUUUGAGAAUAAAGUGAAACACAGCGUCUAUAUUGACAAUCUUUCACAAUUGGCUAAGGAAUCUGUUACCAAAGCUACAUUUGAUCAGUUCGGAAAUGUCAUUCUGGUCAAGUUAAUCCUAACCUAGCUUGAACUAAAAGGGAUGGGACGAGCUGCUUUAGUUGUAAUGAAGAAUGCAUAUGAAGCAAGAACAAUCAUCUCUGAGAUAGGAAAUUCCCCUUUCGUGAUCUCAGGCAUGCCAAGACCUGUUAGGGCACGUGCUGCUGUAGUUGAGAUGUUUGAUAAUCUCCCAAGAAAACCUGAUAGACGAUAAUGUACUACUGGUUGAAAUCCAAUGAUCCUAAUUUUGAAGUGGCCACGAAGAUGAAACGUAUAGUUAGGAUCCAUGCAAAAGAAGCCAUUUUUUUGCUCAAGCGUCAAUUAAAGAAGGAAGAACAACUAGCAAAAGAACAGUCAGAGUCCUUGAACGCAAUCUACAACAAGUAUGAACUCGUUCAACAUGUCUUUAAGAGUGGAACUCCUACGCGAUUGAGAAAGCAUUAUAAAAUGUGUAAUGAUGUUUUUCUAGUAAUCAACAUUCUCAUCAAUACACUUGUAGAGACAUAAAGAUUCAAUGCUUAAACCAAAUGACAUGUUUUUAAAGUACAUUCCAGGCAGUAGAAGAGACUUUAUAUAUGCUAUCAUUCAUGUGCUCUUGAAUUGUAAUUGUUAGCCUAAAAUGUAUUGCUUUACAAGAUUUCUUAUGACCCUGCAGUCAACCUUUACUUUUUUGUGCUAGUAUAAUUUUUGCUAUUAUUGUAUUGGCAUAA